CACUGAGAAGCUAAAUUUAGCGUUAACCUUUUAAGUUAAAGAUUGAGAACUUAUAACUUCUCCUCAAUG
rnacentral:tRNA from 3 species